rnacentral:rRNA from 2 species
UAUUGAUUGGUGCUUGCAUCAUGAUUUACAUUUGAGUGAGUGGCGAACUGGUGAGUAACACGUGGGAAACCUGCCCAGAAGCGGGGGAUAACACCUGGAAACAGAUGCUAAUACCGCAUAACAACUUGGACCGCAUGGUCCGAGCUUGAAAGAUGGCUUCGGCUAUCACUUUUGGAUGGUCCCGCGGCGUAUUAGCUAGAUGGUGGGGUAACGGCUCACCAUGGCAAUGAUACGUAGCCGACCUGAGAGGGUAAUCGGCCACAUUGGGACUGAGACACGGCCCAAACUCCUACGGGAGGCAGCAGUAGGGAAUCUUCCACAAUGGACGAAAGUCUGAUGGAGCAACGCCGCGUGAGUGAAGAAGGGUUUCGGCUCGUAAAACUCUGUUGUUAAAGAAGAACAUAUCUGAGAGUAACUGUUCAGGUAUUGACGGUAUUUAACCAGAAAGCCACGGCUAACUACGUGCCAGCAGCCGCGGUAAUACGUAGGUGGCAAGCGUUGUCCGGAUUUAUUGGGCGUAAAGCGAGCGCAGGCGGUUUUUUAAGUCUGAUGUGAAAGCCUUCGGCUCAACCGAAGAAGUGCAUCGGAAACUGGGAAACUUGAGUGCAGAAGAGGACAGUGGAACUCCAUGUGUAGCGGUGAAAUGCGUAGAUAUAUGGAAGAACACCAGUGGCGAAGGCGGCUGUCUGGUCUGUAACUGACGCUGAGGCUCGAAAGUAUGGGUAGCAAACAGGAUUAGAUACCCUGGUAGUCCAUACCGUAAACGAUGAAUGCUAAGUGUUGGAGGGUUUCCGCCCUUCAGUGCUGCAGCUAACGCAUUAAGCAUUCCGCCUGGGGAGUACGGCCGCAAGGCUGAAACUCAAAGGAAUUGACGGGGGCCCGCACAAGCGGUGGAGCAUGUGGUUUAAUUCGAAGCUACGCGAAGAACCUUACCAGGU